CUGUAUUAACCAAUUGUGAUUUUCCACAAAAGAGGAAAAUCAUAGAGGACUCUAAUAUUGGGAGAGAAGAGGUAGGGAGAGUUUGUGAGUCUCAGAGUUGGCCAAGUAACACUAAACAAUGAUUGGAUAUUUCAUCGUUGGACUUUCCACUCCUUUUAAUGGCAGUUUAGCUGAAGCCUUACAGUGAAGUUUCUACUUGUCCUUCAGGAACUUCCUCUGAAAAUAAGCAAUACAGAUCAGUACAUUUUCCCACAAAAGUGAUGAUCAACCCAAGGCCUGGAUCCAGAUAAGAUUGGUUUUGUUGAUAGGGGAAUACGAAGGAAGCUAGAAAUGGAAAGCCCUGUGGCAUGAGUGGGAUGCUGCUUAUACUUUCUGGAUCACAGCAAAAGUCUGACAUUUAGAAAUAACUCAUCUGGAAUACUAAGGGCUCUACUUACAAUUGUGGAAUUCUUGG